rnacentral:tRNA from 3 species
GCCCAGGUGGUGAAAUGGCAGACACGUCGGGCUUAAGAUCCGAUGACUUUUACAGGUUGUGCGAGUUCGAGUCUCGCUCUGGGCACCA